AGCAGGCGCGAAACCUCCUCAAUGCACUUACGUGCGAAGGGGCUACCUCGAGUGCCACCUGAUGAAGGUGGCUUUUCCUAGGUCUAAAAAGCCUUGGGAAUAAGAGGGGGGCAAGACUGGUGUNAGCCGCCGCGGUAACACCAGCCCCUCGAGUGGUGGGGAUGAUUAUUGGGCCUAAAGCGUCCGUAGCCUGCCGUAUAAGUUUCCCGUUAAAUCCAGCGUCUUAAGCGUUGGACCGCGGGAAAUACUGUACGGCUAGAGAGUGGGAGAGGUCAGCGGUAUUCUGGGGGUAGGGGCGAAAUCCUUUGAUCCCCGGAGGACCACCAGUGGCGAAGGCUGCUGUCUAGAACACGUCUGACGGUCAGGGACGAAAGCUGGGGUAGCGAACCGGAUUAGAUACCCGGGUAGUCCCAGCCGUAAACGAUGCAUGCUAGGUGUUGGGUUGGCCACGAGCCAC
rnacentral:rRNA from 1 species